AUUGAACGCUGGCGGCAGGCCUAACACAUGCAAGUCGAGCGGAUGAGUGGAGCUUGCUCCAUGAUUCAGCGGCGGACGGGUGAGUAAUGCCUAGGAAUCUGCCUGGUAGUGGGGGACAACGUUUCGAAAGGAACGCUAAUACCGCAUACGUCCUACGGGAGAAAGUGGGGGAUCUUCGGACCUCACGCUAUCAGAUGAGCCUAGGUCGGAUUAGCUAGUUGGUGCGGUAAAGGCUCACCAAGGCGACGAUCCGUAACUGGUCUGAGAGGAUGAUGAGUCACACUGGAACGGAGACACGGUGCAGACUCCUACGGGAGGCAGCAGUGGGGAAUAGUGGACAAUGGGCGAAAGCCUGAUCCAGCCAUGCCGCGUGUGUGAAGAAGGUCUUCGGGUUGUAAAGCACUUUAAGUUGGGAGGAAGGGCAGUAAGUUAAUACCUUGCUGUUUUGACGUUACCAACAGAAUAAGCACCGGCUAACUUCGUGCCAGCCGCCGCCGUAACAC
rnacentral:rRNA from 1 species